rnacentral:lncRNA from 1 species
GCUGCCUGUGACAUCCCGCCCCGGGGCUAAAAGUGUCUGCCACCUUCAUCCGCAACAGCACGGCCAUCCAGGAGCUGUUCAAGCGCUCUCCGAGCUGUUCACCGCCAUGUUCCGGCGCAAGGCGUUCCUGUACUGGUACACGGGUGAGGACAUGGAGUUCACCGAGGCCGAGAGCAACAUGAACGACCUGGUGUUCAAAUACCAGCAGUACCAGGAUGCCACGGCCGAGGAGGAUGAGUUCAAGGAGGGGGCCGAGGAGGAGAUGGCCUAG